GACGUAGGGGGCCAGCGUUGUUCGGAAUUACUGGGUGUAAAGGGUUCGUAGGCGGUGUGGCAAGUCGGGAGUGAAAUCUCUGGGCUCAACCCAGAGUCUGCUUCCGAAACUGCUGUGCUUGAGUGUGGGAGAGGCGCGUGGAAUUGCAGGUGUAGCGGUGAAAUGCGUAGAUAUCUGCAGGAACACCCGUGGCGAAAGCGGACGUGCGUGGACCCCUGACUGCUGACGGCUGACGGAA
rnacentral:rRNA from 1 species